rnacentral:rRNA from 1 species
UACAGAGGUCUCAAGCGUUGUUCGGAUUCAUUGGGCGUAAAGGGUGUGUAGGUGGCGCGCUAAGUCGGGUGUGAAAUUUCGGAGCUUAACCCCGAAACUGCAUUCGAUACUGGCGUGCUUGAGGACUGGAGAGGAGACUGGAAUUCAUGGUGUAGCAGUGAAAUGCGUAGAGAUCAUGAGGAAGACCAGUGGCGAAGGCGGGUCUCUGGACAGUUCCUGACGCUGAGGCACGAAGGCCAGGGGAGCAAACGGG